CCUACGGGAGGCAGCAGUAGGGAAUCUUCCGCAAUGGACGAAAGUCUGACGGAGCAACGCCGCGUGAACGAUGAAGGCCUUCGGGUCGUAAAGUUCUGUUGUUAGGGAAGAACAAGUGCUAGUUAAAUAAGCUGGCACCUUGACGGUACCUAACCAGAAAGCCACGGCUAACUACGUGCCAGCAGCCGCGGUAAUACGUAGGUGGCAAGCGUUGUCCGGAAUUAUUGGGCGUAAAGCGCGCGCAGGCGGUUUCUUAAGUCUGAUGUGAAAGCCCCCGGCUCAACCGGGGAGGGUCAUUGGAAACUGGGAAACUUGAGUGCAGAAGAGGAAAGUGGAAUUCCAAGUGUAGCGGUGAAAUGCGUAGAGAUUUGGAGGAACACCAGUGGCGAAGGCGACUUUCUGGUCUGUAACUGACGCUGAGGCGCGAAAGCGUGGGGAGCAAACAGGAUUAGAUACCCUGGUAGUCCACGCUGUAAACGAUGAGUGCUAAGUGUUAGAGGGUUUCCGCCUUUAGUGCUGAAGUUAACGCAUUAAGCACUCCGCCUGGGGAGUACGGUCGCAAGCUGAAACUCAAAGGAAUUGACGG
rnacentral:rRNA from 1 species